GACGAACGCUGGCGGCGUGCUUAACACAUGCAAGUCGAACGGAAAGGCCCUGCUUUUGUGGGGUGCUCGAGUGGCGAACGGGUGAGUAACACGUGAGUAACCUGCCCUUGACUUUGGGAUAACUUCAGGAAACUGGGGCUAAUACCGGAUAGGAGCUCCUGCUGCAUGGUGGGGGUUGGAAAGUUUCGGCGGUUGGGGAUGGACUCGCGGCUUAUCAGCUUGUUGGUGGGGUAGUGGCUUACCAAGGCUUUGACGGGUAGCCGGCCUGAGAGGGUGACCGGCCACAUUGGGACUGAGAUACGGCCCAGACUCCUACGGGAGGCAGCAGUGGGGAAUAUUGCACAAUGGGCGGAAGCCUGAUGCAGCAACGCCGCGUGCGGGAUGACGGCCUUCGGGUUGUAAACCGCUUUCGCCUGUGACGAAGCGUGAGUGACGGUAAUGGGUAAAGAAGCACCGGCUAACUACGUGCCAGCAGCCGCGGUGAUACGUAGGGUGCGAGCGUUGUCCGGAUUUAUUGGGCGUAAAGGGCUCGUAGGUGGUUGAUCGCGUCGGAAGUGUAAUCUUGGGGCUUAACCCUGAGCGUGCUUUCGAUACGGGUUGACUUGAGGAAGGUAGGGGAGAAUGGAAUUCCUGGUGGAGCGGUGGAAUGCGCAGAUAUCAGGAGGAACACCAGUGGCGAAGGCGGUUCUCUGGGCCUUUCCUGACGCUGAGGAGCGAAAGCGUGGGGAGCGAACAGGCUUAGAUACCCUGGUAGUCCACGCUGUAAACGGUGGGUACUAGGUGUGGGGUCCAUUCCACGGGUUCCGUGCCGUAGCUAACGCUUUAAGUACCCCGCCUGGGGAGUACGGCCGCAAGGCUAAAACUCAAAGGAAUUGACGGGGCCCCGCACAAGCGGCGGAGCAUGCGGAUUAAUUCGAUGCAACGCGUAGAACCUUACCUGGGUUUGACAUGGAUCGGGAGUGCUCAGAGAUGGGUGUGCCUCUUUUGGGGUCGGUUCACAGGUGGUGCAUGGCUGUCGCCAGCUCGUGUCGUGAGAUGUUGGGUUAAGUCCCGCAACGAGCGCAACCCUUGUUCACUGUUGCCAGCACGUUAUGGUGGGGACUCAGUGGAGACCGCCGGGGUCAACUCGGAGGAAGGUGGGGAUGACGUCAAGUCAUCAUGCCCCUUAUGUCCAGGGCUUCACGCAUGCUACAAUGGCUGGUACAGAGAGUGGCGAGCCUGUGAGGGUGAGCGAAUCUCGGAAAGUCGGUCUCAGUUCGGAUUGGGGUCUGCAACUCGACCUCAUGAAGUCGGAGUCGCUAGUAAUCGCAGAUCAGCAACGCUGCGGUGAAUACGUUCCCGGGGCU
rnacentral:rRNA from 1 species